rnacentral:rRNA from 1 species
GAUGAACGCUGGCGGCGUGCCUAAUACAUGCAAGUCGAGCGAAGCGGGGACGGGUGAGUAACACGUGGAUAACCUCCUAUAAGACUGGGAUAACUUCGGGAAACCGGAGCUAACCCGGAUACUUAUAGAUGGAUCCGCGCUGCAUUAGCUAGUUGGUAAGGUAACGGCUUACCAAGGCAACGAUGCAUAGCCGACCUGAGAGGGUGACCAGCCAAACUGGAACUGAGAAACGGGCCAGACUCCUACGGGAGGGAGCAGUGGGGAAUAUUGGACAAUGGGCGGAAGCCUGAUGCAGCCAAGCCGCGUGUAUGAAGAAGGCCUGCGGGUUGUAAAAGUCUUUCAGCGGGGAAGCGUUACUCGCAGAAGAAGCACCGGCUAACUCCGUGCCAGCAGCCGCGGUAAUAC